GAUCAAGUGUCUAAAGGGCAUUUGGUGGAUGCCUUGGCAUGCACAGGCGAUGAAGGACGUGAUACGCUGCGAUAAGCUACGGGGAGGUGCGAAUAACCUUUGAUCCGUAGAUUUCCGAAUGGGGCAACCCACCUUUUGGUGGCUGGAAAAAUUAAGCUGUUUUCAAAAAAAGACAGUUUAGUUUUCUUGUCAUCAGAUAUAAGGUAUCUACAUUUGAAUAAAAUAGAAUGUAAGAAGCGAACGCAGGGAACUGAAACAUCUAAGUACCUGUAGGAAAGGACAUCAACCGAGACUCCGUUAGUAGUGGCGAGCGAACGCGGACCAGGCCAGUGACUUAGAGAAAGAAAAGUAGAAUCGACUGGAAAGUCGAACCAAAGUGGGUGAUAGUCCCGUAUACGUAACUCUUCUUUAAGUCCUAGAGUAGGGCGGGACACGUGAAAUCCUGUCUGAAUAUGGGUCGACCACGAUCCAAGCCUAAGUACUCGUGCAUGACCGAUAGCGAACCAGUACCGUGAGGGAAAGGUGAAAAGUACCCCGACAAGGGGAGUGAAAAAGUACCUGAAACCGAAUGCCUACAAACAGUCGGAGCCCAAGAUUUGUUCUGGGUGACGGCGUACCUUUUGUAUAAUGGGUCAGCGACUUAGUCUAACGAGCAAGCUUAAGCCGAUAGGUGUAGGCGUAGCGAAAGCGAGUCUGAACAGGGCGUUUAGUUCGUUGGAUUAGACCCGAAACCGAGUGAUCUAGCCAUGAGCAGGCUGAAGGUAAGGUAACACUUACUGAAGGGCCGAACCCGUAUCUGUUGCAAUAGAUUGGGAUGACUUGUGGCUAGGGGUGAAAGGCCAAUCAAACUCGGAGAUAGCUGGUUCUCCGCGAAAUCUAUUUAGGUAGAGCGUUAGUCGAAUUCUCCAGGGGGUAGAGCACUGGAUGGGCUAGGGGUCCUCACCGGAUUACCAAACCUAACCAAACUCCGAAUACCUGGAAGAACUAACUAGCAGACACACGGCGGGUGCUAACGUCCGUCGUGGAGAGGGAAACAACCCUGACCACCAUCUAAGGUCCCCAAGUUAUGGCUAAGUGGGAAAGGAUGUGAGGAUCCCAAAACAACCAGGAUGUUGGCUUAGAAGCAGCCAUCAUUUAAAGAAAGCGUAACAGCUCACUGGUCUAAAUAAGGGUCUUUGCGCCGAAAAUGUAACGGGGCUAAAGCCAUACACCGAAGCUGUGGAUUUACUCUUAGGAGUAAGUGGUAGCGGAGCGUUCCGUAAGCCUGCGAAGGGAGACUCGUGAGAGCUCCUGGAGGUAUCGGAAGUGAGAAUGCUGACAUGAGUAACGAUAAAGGGAGUGAGAGACUCCCUCGCCGGAAGUCCAAGGGUUCCUGCUUAAAGUUAAUCUGAGCAGGGUGAGUCGGCCCCUAAGGCGAGGCCGAAAGGCGUAGUCGAUGGGAACCACGUUAAUAUUCGUGGACCUGUGGGUAGUGACGGAUUGCGUGUAUUGUAAGGUCUUAUUGGAUUGAUCUUGCAGUGAAGCAGUUCCAGGAAAUAGCUCCCACAUAAAGACCGUACCCGAAACCGACACAGGUGGACUGGUAGAGAAUACUAAGGCGCUUGAGAGAACUACGUUGAAGGAACUCGGCAAAUUGCACGCGUAACUUCGGAAGAAGCGUGACCCUUUAGCGGGCAACCGUUAGAGGGUGGCACAGACCAGGGGGUAGCGACUGUUUACCAAAAACACAGGGCUCUGCGAAGUCGCAAGACGACGUAUAGGGUCUGACGCCUGCCCGGUGCUGGAAGGUUAAGAGGAGAUGUGCAAGCAUUGAAUUGAAGCCCCAGUAAACGGCGGCCGUAACUAUAACGGUCCUAAGGUAGCGAAAUUCCUUGUCGGGUAAGUUCCGACCUGCACGAAUGGCGUAACGACUUCCCCGCUGUCUCCAACGUAGACUCAGUGAAAUUGAAUUCCCCGUGAAGAUGCGGGGUUCCCGCGGUUAGACGGAAAGACCCCGUGCACCUUUACUAUAGCUUUACACUGGCAUUUGUGUUUGUAUGUGUAGGAUAGGUGGUAGACUUUGAAGCAGGGGCGCUAGCCUUUGUGGAGUCAUCCUUGAAAUACCACCCUUACCGAUAUGGAUGUCUAACCGCAGUCCGUUAUCCGGAUUCGGGACCGUGUAUGGUGGGUAGUUUGACUGGGGCGGUCGCCUCCUAAAGAGUAACGGAGGCGCGCGAUGGUAGGCUCAGAACGGUCGGAAAUCGUUUGUUGAGUGCAAUGGCAUAAGCCUGCCUGACUGUGAGACUGACAAGUCGAGCAGAGUCGAAAGACGGUCAUAGUGAUCCGGUGGUCCCGUGUGGAAGGGCCAUCGCUCAACGGAUAAAAGGUACGCCGGGGAUAACAGGCUGAUGACCCCAAGAGUCCAUAUCGACGGGGUUGUUUGGCACCUCGAUGUCGACUCAUCGCAUCCUGGGGCUGGAGCAGGUCCCAAGGGUAUGGCUGUUCGCCAUUUAAAGCGGUACGUGAGUUGGGUUCAGAACGUCGUGAGACAGUUCGGUCCCUAUCUGCCGUGGGUGUUGGAAUAUUGACAGGACCUGUCCCUAGUACGAGAGGACCGGGAUGGACGUAUCUCUGGUGGACCUGUUGUAGCGCCAGCUGCAUAGCAGGGUAGCUAUAUACGGACGAGAUAACCGCUGAAAGCAUCUAAGCGGGAAACUCACCUGAAAACAAGUAUUCCCUGAGAACCGUGGUAGACCACCACGUUGAUAGGUCAGGUGUGGAAGUGUGGUAACACAUGAAGCUUACUGAUACUAAUCGUUCGAUCGACUUGAUCGUUCCCAUUU
rnacentral:rRNA from 1 species